rnacentral:rRNA from 1 species
UACAGAGGGUGCAAGCGUUAAUCGGAAUUACUGGGCGUAAAGGGCGCGUAGGCGGAUGAAUAAGUUAGGUGUGAAAUACCUGGGCUUAACCUGGGAGUGGCACCUAAUACUGUUGAUCUAGAGUAGAGUAGAGGGAAGUGGAAUUUCCGGUGUAGCGGUGAAAUGCGUAGAGAUCGGAAAGAACACCAGUGGCGAAGGCGGCUUCCUGGACUCAUACUGACGCUGAGGCGCGAAAGCGUGGGGAGCAAACAGG